GCCAGCAUGCCUUAGUGGUUUGGGUGCUAGACUAGGAUUCUGGAGACUAGGGUUCAAAUCCCUGCUUGGCC